AACUCUAUAUCCCACUUAAGAGUAUCCAAUCAUAAAAUAACUCAGCGUACAAUAUGUCAAGCCCAAUAAACUAUAACACAUCACUUCGCCGAGAAGGCUAAUGAGAUGACCUCGACCAACAAAGAUUUGGAAAUCCUUCUCGACCAAGACUUGGAUAGAUAACCAGUCACCCUCGACGCAGUGCUAUCUAUGCCGGCUGAAGAUGCUGCGAGAUUGGGUGGUUUUA
rnacentral:lncRNA from 1 species